AUAUCAUACACAGUCAACAACCAUUUCACCACCUGCUGUGUGUGUAUCAUUACAUUGUUCUGAUAUAUCAUACACAGUCAACAACCAUUUCACCACAUGCUGUGUGUAUCAUUACACUGUCCUGAUAUAUCAUACACAGUCAACAACCAUUUCACCACGUGCUGUGUGUGUGUAUUUAAAAAUUGUCCGAGAAGUUGUUUUAACCUAAUUUUUAUGUGUGCUGAUGUUUAUAACAUAGUACGCACAAAACCUCGCUAAUUGCCCAAGGUAUGUUUACUUAAACAAAACAGACGUACGUUUUAAAAUAUAUGGUGUUUUGUUAUUUCCAUCAGAGUAUUUCUUGUGCUUCAGGAUUAACCUUGUUUAAUGUCUUGUAAGUUUCAGAAUGACAUCCAUUCUUGACGAAAGUCCUAGUUGUGCCAAAGGGUUAAUUUAUUUUUGUAGUAGUGUGUGGGUAACAGAUGUUGUGAAUGCUACCGUGACAAAUUUCAAUUCAUUUUUGUACUUCAGAAGUUUAACCAGUAGUUAAAGGUACUACUAUCAGUGUUGUGUUUAGAUCAUUUUAUUUCCUUCAAACCAGAAACUUGGUCUAUGCAACUGCUGCCUCACUCUUAGAUAUAACUUCUUGGUAAUUUAGAUUUUUUUUAUUGUAUGUGGGCCAAAGUAAUUAGUGAAAUUUUCUACAGUUUUUGAUGUUUUGAACAUUCCUGGAAAUGAAAGAUUAUAAAGAAGUACAAAGUAGUUUUGAUACUUAAGAUUUUCUUUGUAUGUCGACCUUUCUUUGUUUUUAAGCAAUCUUUGAUACCAUUUAAAUUAGUGAUUCUGAAAGUGGAUCAUAGUUAUUGACGGUAUUUCUCCAUCUUAAUUUUAUAAUGUGAUGCGGGCUCAGCAAAGCAUGCCAAUAUUUUUAUGUGAUCUUUGAUACCAUUUAAAUUAAGUUUUGUCAAAGUGGAUCGUGCGUGUGUUGGCAGGAUUUUUCCAUCUUAAUUUUAUAACUUACGACACUACAUUAAAAAGAAUACAAUUUAUUGAAACAGUUAGAACAGUGGUGGGGGGUGAACAACUAACAGGUUUAACUUGCAUGUGUUGAUAUCGUACCAAAGUAUGCACAGACUUCUUGGUAUCCUUUUGAUUGUUUGUAUGCUUAAAAAGUUCUAUGAGUUCCUUUAUUUAAAUUGGUUUCUUACACUUCUAACCUAUUCAUAUCAUUAGAAGCCAACUGGGUUUUGAGUUUAAGCAUUCAUUAAAUUAUAACUUGUAUCUUUAAUUAUUUAAGAUGAUAUCGGGACUACCUCACUCCGAAGUACAAUGGAGUGUAUCUGGAGCUCUUCAUGCAUUUGUAGCACAUCAUUACCUAAAAUCUGUUCAUCGUAAGUGGCUCAUCUAGGGAUAGAAACCUUACUUGUAUUUCGUGUACGCAGGUAGUCAGCCCAGUUCAGUACACCCAACCCUGGGUAACGGAACAAUGUACUUACUAAAUUAUUCUUACUAGUUAGAGGUCCAAUUUUGUUUCUACUAGCCAUUUACUUGUACCAAUAUGUGGUUAAAUGUUGAGAUUUGAAAAUAGUCGGGUUCACAAUCAUAAGUUUCUCAGGAGCAGUCUUUGAUAAAAGUAACUUUCAGAUUUCAGGGUUGUAGUAUACACGUUAGAAUGACAGGAAAAACAGUCUCAAAGUACAGCUAACAAAACUGUUUGUCUACCAAUUUCUAGUUACCAUUUACUUUAAAAAGAUAAAGAAAACAUAAGUAAAUUUUACUUCAAAUAGUCCAGAAACUAUACACACGAGGAAUGUGUGUCACAUCAGACAGUCCAGAACUAUACACACGAGGAAGGUGUGUCACUUCAGAGAGUCCAGAAACUAUACACACGAGGAAGGUGUGUCACUUCAGAGAGUCCAGAAACUAUACACACGAGGAAGGUGUGUCACUUCAGAGAGUCCAGAAACUAUACACACGAGGAAGGUGUGUCACAUCAGACAGUCCAGAAACUAUACACACGAGGAAGGUGUGUCACACACGAGGAAGGUGUGUCACAUCAGACAGUCCAGAAACUACACACACACACAAGGAAGGUGUGAAAAUUUAGUUUUCAAAUGAUUUGAGAGGUUUUCUAUAGAAAUUGUCCCGUUUAUGUUAAUUUAUAUUUCUACUUUCUUCAAAACUUAAUCUCUUGUAUUUCAUUUAUUGUUCUGAAGAACUUAAUCAAAUCAGACUUUGUUUUCUUAUCAAAUUUAUUGUAUAAUUUAAACAUUUUUCUUGCCGAUUCAUUAUCUUUAGUUCUUUUUCUUAUUUUGUGUGAUUAUUUUUUAUAUAUAUAUAUAAAACAGUCACUUGAUAUCUGUGAAUUGUUUCUUGGUGUAGAAAUAAUUAGUUAAAAAAAGGUUUGGAAUGUUUUCACUACAUGAGCAUUUUAUGUAAACAGGCUAAUAUAUGUGUAUGUUGUUAUUUUGUUGAAAAUAACCGCAUAGGUCUCCAAUUUUUAGCUGAAUUGGUUAAACUGUAAGUACCAAUCCAAUUUCAGCAUUAAUACCAGCCUGUAACCAUGGUAGUGUUUGUUCAACAAAUCAUAAUGAGACAUUUCGUAAAAUCUUCUAGGAUGCUCAACGGAGGUGAAUUAGUAACAAAAUAAAUAUUGUAAUUUGACUAAUAUUGGUAACUUCAUUACUUCAACUGAUUGGUCGUGUUUAUAUUAUCAAUUGCAAUAUUGAACUCGUGUCUGUGAUUGCCUUGUUACAUUUACAUAAUUCUUCUUUAAAAAUGAAGCUUCAAUAACUGUACUUUAAUUGAAGAAAUAUAAUUAAAGAAUUUAUUCAACUA
rnacentral:lncRNA from 1 species